AAUGGCAAAGGUUCCGAAAACCGAAAGACCCCUUUUUCGGGGGGUUCUUAAAGCUGGGGCGGGCAACGGGGGGGUGGCGGUUUAAACGGGCCGUGAGGGAAAUUCCGGCCCCCUUUGGAGUUCCGGGAAAUNACCAGUUNGGAGACGAACUGCUAAUACCGGUAUAAUGACUUCGGUCCAAAGAUUUAUUGCCCAGGGAUGAGCCGGCGUAGGAUUAGCUAGUUGGUGAGGUAAAGGCUCACCAAGGCGACGAUCCUUAGCUGGUCUGAGAGGAUGAUCAGCCACACUGGGACUGAGACACGGCCCAGACUCCGUACGGGAGGCAGCAGUGGGGAAAUAUUGAUACAUAUGGGCGAAAGCCAUGAUCCAGCACAUGCCGCGUGAGUGAUGAAGGCCUUAGGGUUGUAAAGCUCUUUUACCCGGGAUGAUAAUGACAGUACCGGGAGCAUAAGCCCCGGCUAACUCCGUGCCUAGCAGCUCGCGGUAAUACGGAGGGGGCUAGCGUUGUUCGGAAUUACUGGUGCGCUAAAGCGCGCGUAGGCGGCUUUGUAAGUUAGAGGUGAAAGCCCGGUAGCUCAACUCCGGAACUGCCUUUAAUGACUGCAUCGCUAGAAUUGUGGAGAGGUGAGUGGAAUUCCGAGUGUAGAGGUGAAAUUCGUAUGAUAUUCGGAAGAAACACCAGUGGCGAAGGCGACUCACUGGACACAUAUUGACGCUGAGGUGCGAAAGCGUGGGGAGCAAUACAGUAUUAGAUACCAUGGUAGUCC
rnacentral:rRNA from 1 species